ACGGGUAUUCUCGGGCGGAUAAUACGGACGCGCUGUUAUUGCUUGAGAAUACGCGUAG
rnacentral:pre_miRNA from 1 species